CGGCAGACCCGCGCGUGGCCCGGGGGCGGUGCGAGGGGCGGGCGCCUGAGCGCGGGCUGCGGCCUAUAAAAGGGCCGCCCCGGCGCUCCCUCCCGGACGUACGGCGCGAGCCGCCGCGCCCCCUCCUUCGUGGUGCUGCAGUGUCUGCGCCCAGCAGCUUAAUGAGAUUUAUUCACGUUCGGCUAUGUUCGGCUUUGCCAGGGGUUGGCAGAUCCAGUGCACAGGGAUUUCCCACCACGGUGUUUUUCUCCCGCCCCUUUCCUUUCUUCUCGCCUUAGUAUCCCCCGCCUAGUUUCCUCCCCGGGGCCGGUAGGCUGCGUCCUGGGCGCGCGCCUGAACAUGUUGCCUUGUAUUUGAACUGGUGUGAGAGAUCCUUAUUUGGAACCAUCGUGGGUCUUAAAAGGCUCAAAGACACAGAUCACUGGUAAGCUGUCUAUAAAUUCCAUAACGUAUAAUGCUAAUAAGAAUUUAUGCUUCAAGGGAUUUGAGACUGAUUACCACAGAGAAUUAGCCUGCAGUUUUCAACCUGAGAGCAUGAUUGUAAACAUAGGUGGCAAGAUUUCCACUAAUAUACAGGAAAUUACCUAAUAAUAUCUUAAGAGGCAAAAUCUUUUAAGUUGAUUUAAGUUUUAGAAGCCUAUGCAAGUGACUUAAAAAUAGGACUACCAUGCUAAAUGCAUUUUUCGGUAAAUAUUUUGUACAAGCUGGAUGUCAGAUGCACAAUACUGGUGAUUCUCACAGUAUUCUAUGCCACUAGUGUGUUGGUUAAAAUUUGAUAUUUUGGCCUUUACUAAAUCACAUUUUGGGGGAUUGGGGCUUGGAACUUGGUACUGUUAGCAACCCCACCCACCACUCUCAUGAUUCUUAAUAUAAAAUUGAGAUUCUCUGUACUAUAUUAUAAUCAAGGGCAUCCAUAAUAUGUAUAUUAUUCCUAGCUAGAAAAAGGUAAAAGUAGGAGUUCCUGUUAUGGCUCAGCCGGUUAAGGACUCGAUAUUGUCUCAGAGAAUAUUGGUUUGAUUCCUGGCCUGGCUUAGUUGGUUAAGGAUCUGGAGUUGCCCCCAAGCUGCCUCAGCUGCAACUCCAAUUCAACCCCUAGCCCUGGAAUUUACAUGUGCAGCAGGUCUGGCUGUAAAAAGAAUAGAAGGGGAAAACCAAAAAAGUAUCAAAUUCACAAUUAGCUAUUUCUAGAAAAGAGUUUCUUUCUUCCUACCUCCUGAAUCAACAUAAUUUAAGAAAAGGCCGUGGCAACUACCACUCAAAUUCUUCUAGAACUCUCAAGAAAAAAUGUUCAUUCUUGAAGAAAAACAUUUGCAGCAUGAAAUCAGGAUAAUGUGUCCAUUGCAUGUAAUCAAAUUUCAGUUAAUGCUCAAGUUGAAAACCUGACAAUACUUCUCUAAUUAGUCACUAUCAAAUGUGUUUGAUAAAUAUAUUCUCCUGAGGUAAGAAAGAGCUCUGGAAUUUUGAGACAGAGAAUGAAAACUUAAACUGUUAUUUACUAGGUAAAUGAGUUGGGACAGAUAACUGAAUUUGGAGGGGUUGUUUCCUCAUAAUGGAUAGUAAUUCCUGUUUUAACUUCUCAGGGAUAUUAUAAGGCUCAAGUGAGAUAAUGUAUGUGAAAGUAUCAAAAUGUUGACAUCCAGAAGUUUAACUCAUCUAAAAAUAGUAAAAUCAUUUGGAACUCUUAUCUAUAUAUAUGAGAAAUGCUAAAAUUGAACUCUGUACUCCAUAACCUUAAGGCAUCUUUUUGUUGUUGUUACCACUGCGGUAGCUUCUAUUUGCCAGUUGAUUUAAGAGUGAGAAACAAAACAGACAUGGUUCAUGCCCUUAGAAUUUCAUGGUCUAGCAUCAUAGAAAUGUAUUUUAGUCAUAUCAACUGACAUUUUUAUCAUCUCUUCUAGUUCACUGACCUAUACUCAUCAUGCCCUACCUUUAGUAAAAGCCCGCUCAGCCUUCUGUACCAGUACUGUUCAAUGUCUGUUAGCAUCUGCUUGUUAGUAAUUUAUAAUUUAGAACAGAAGGCAAUAGCUACCAUGAUUUUUUGGAAAAUAUUAUAAAAUGGUUUAUUUGACACUUAUCCAACCCCCUUCUAGCUUGCUUUUCUGUACUUUAGAAGCUAGAAAGUUAAAAACUGUCUUGAGACUCCCUUGCAACCAUAGUCCUAGCAUGGAUGAGUGGUGAGCUGGUAAAAAUCAUUAGCAAUGGCUGGAGGAAGGGAAAGACCCUGAUUUGUAUCACUGACUACACCCAAGCUAUCAAAGUGACUUCACUGCAUGAGGAGUUAGUUGUAGAAGAUGCUAACAAUUACAUACAGGCUUCAGCCUAUCACUAUGUGACCUAGUUUCUAGCAAUCAGAUAUACCCAUUCAAGACAUGAAUCUGAAAACGAGCAACAUGAUGCUUCAGUUGCAUUCAGGACAAUCGGAUUUUCUGGCAAGCACCAUGGUGGAGGUGUCUGCUGCCUCUGAGUAGCUGGGGAGAGGUUCUGGCAUCUAAAAAUGAGUCAUAGGUACUGACUGGCAAGUGGUGCUGGGGUGGGUUUCUGCUAGUAUAGUGGAUGUGAUGUGGGAUGUGUCCUUCCAGGCUUGGUUUCCUGGAUGUUGUUUCUAGUGUUGUUUCUAGCCAGAUCUGGUUCUCUGGUCCUCUCAGAGCUCUGUUAGCUAAAUACUAUCCUUUAAUCCCUUGCUGCUUAAACUGGCUCAGUUACAGCCAGCUACACAGUUUGUUGAGCCUAGAGCAAAAUGAAGAAUGUAGGGCCCCUGUUCAAAAAGCAGGGAAAAAAAUGUCAUUAUAUGUACUAAAAUAUAAAGCUUUUUCUUUCUUCUGUCAUCUCUCCUUCAACAUGUCAUGCUGUUUUUUUAAUUGCUUUUUAAUGUCAUUCUAAGUAAAGAAAAAUUAGAAUUUUAAAUUAUUAGAAUGAAUUUUACCAUUCAUCUUUAUAUUGUGCAGUACCAUUUAUAAAUGCAAAUAUAAGAGCAUUUAACUCAUAUAUGGAAUCACUGGAAUUACACAAUUCAUAUUUUGUAGCUUGUACAUGCCACAAAGAUGUAUUUAAGGAACAAUGUAAAUGCUCUAUAAAACCGACUCAGCUAUUUUUCUUUCCCUUUUUUUUUUUUUUGGUGGGAUGCCACCAAAAAGUACCCCAGGGCCUGGAGAGUGGGGGUGGGGGGCGGGGGGAAUCAAACUCACACCAUAGCAGCAACUUGAGCCACAGCAGUGCCAGUUUCAGAUCCCUGACCCACCAAGCCACCAGACAACUCCUUCCUUUCCCUUUGUCAUAUGCACACAUCCUACCAACAUGUGUAAGGAAGGACUGAAAGGAAAUGAACUAUGGGUUGCCCUGCCUUUCUCUUUUCUUCCAUGACAUCAUUUUUCAGUGUAAAUGUAAUACAGGGAAGUAGCACACACAAGGAAGGAUAUGAUUGAUUCUUUGGUCACUUGUAUUUCUUAGGAUACCAUUGCCUUCUUUCUGUGCCUGAAGCAAGUUCUGGUAGAAAUGGAAAACAUAGCCUCUUGGAACUGUCAGCGCCUCCACUAAAUCAGUCAUAGAUGUAACAGGCUUGCCUUGUCAUCUCUUUGUAACUCCCUGAAUUCCUGGACCGCUUAAGUUCACUAGAAACCUGUGCUUUUCAGGCAUUAUGCAGACUGCAUGCAAACGAAGUGAUAAGGAAAAAAGGACAAACACGUUGGCUGCCUUUGCUUGCAUGGAUGACCUACCGUACCACGUACCACUGGACUUCUUUUAUGAAACAGACAUUCAAACAUAAAAGUAUUAAGAUUUUCAGAAUGGUAACUGCAGAGCAUUAAACCAAGCAGUGGGCCCUAUAUGACUGCACAGUUUGUAUGACUAUGAAGUUGACCCUGAGCUCAGUGUUUCUCAAGGGGGGUUCUUCUGAUACUUUGGAUGAAACAAUUCUUUAUUGUGCCAGAUAUUUAACAUCCGUGGCCCCUGGGCACUACAUGCCACUGUGAUAAAAAAAAAAAAAAAAUGCCCACAUACAUCUCUAAAUGCCCCAAAGAGGAGUUACUGCUCUCUACUGAACUCCUGGAGUGGACUCCACUGUCUGCGGCUGGGAACCAUGAUCAUUACAGAUCCAAGAAAGGUCAUGUGCAAUUUUUGCUAGGAAUUCUCAAGCAGAGCAAAAUACAGAGUUGAGUUUAAAAGAUUUCAAAAUUCUCAUACCUGGAGGAGUAGAAUUAUGGUGACCUUUUUUUUCAAUUGUCAGAAAAAUAACACCACUUACAUCGGCAGUGAAACAAAUAUCUGGAAUGAAUGUUUAAAGGGCAUCAGUGAGUUUUAUGUGUCACAUGCAUGUAAGUGGUAGUUGACUCCAUAUAGAUGACAGUCUAGAAAAAGAGUGGAGUUCUUAACAUGGCUCAACAGAAACAAAUCUGACUGGCAUCAGUGAGGACUCAGGUUCGAUCCCUGGCUUUGCCUAGUGGGUUGAGGAUCUAGUGUUGCCAUGAGCUGUGGUGUAGGUCACAGAUACAUCUUGGAUCUUACGUUGCUGUGGUGGAGACCGGCAGCUAUAACUCCAAUUCCACCCCAGGCCUGGGAACCCCCACAUGCCCAGGUGCGGCCCUAAAAAGACAAAAAAAGAAAAGAGUGAAAGACCCCAGAACAGCAAAGAGAACCAUCUUACCUUCAUUGUUUUAAUUAGCUGGUUUUAAGGAGCUGUGGUACAUUUUUUUUUUUUUUUUUUUUUUUGCUAUUUUAGGGCCGCACUCUAGGCAUAUGGAAGUUCCAGGCUAGGGGUCAAAUCGGAGCUAAAGCUGCUGGCCCUCACCAUGGCCACAGCAACUUGGGAUCCAAGCCAUGUCUGCAACCUACACCACAGCUCACUGCAACACUGGAUCCUUAACCCACUGGGUGAGGCUAGGGAUCAAACCUGCAUCCUUAUGAAUCCUAAUCACGUUCUUUAAAUGCUGAGCCUCGAAGGGAACUCGGAAGCUGUGGUACUCUUAAUAUAUUGGAUUUUGAACUUAGUUUCAUUGCGUCUUUUUUUUUUAAGUUUUAGUUCCUGAUUUAAGAAUAUUAACAUCAUGGCGUAUUAGAGCUGAAACAAGAUAGUCCAAAUCAUUUUGUUUCCUUUAUUCCUAUACUGUUAGCCAUGUAGAGAUUAAAAGCCCUAGCUCGAUAGACCUGGUCUUGCCUUUGCUAACUCUCAACCUCAGUUUUUCUCAGUAAAAUGGGGAUAAUAGUAUAUUAUCUUAGGUUCUAAGUCACUUCACCAAAGGUCAAUUCAUUAAAAAGCAAUUUUAGGAGUUCCCGUCGUGGCGCAGUGGUUAACGAAUCUGACUAGGAACCAUGAGGUUGCGGGUUCGGUCCCUGCCCUUGCUCAGUGGGUUAACGAUCCGGUGUUGCCGUGAGCUGUGGUGUAGGUUGCAGACGCAGCUCGGAUCCCGCGUUGCUGUGGCUCUGGCGUAGGCCGGUGGCUACAGCUCCGAUUCAACCCCUAGCCUGGGAACCUCCAUAUGCCGCAGGAGCGGCCCAAGAAAUAGCAACAACAACAAAAAGACAAAAGACAAAAAAAAAAAAAAAAAGCAAUUUUACCAAGAAAUGCAUUUGCUAAAUAAAUUCAAAAUUAAUAUUCCCCAAAACAAGUAUUUGGUAGGUAUAACUGAUUCUUUGCCAAAUUGGUUUUUAGAAAAUUGGACUGUUUUCCAUCUUUAUUAGGCAUAUUAUAAAUACUAAAUAAGCUAUUGCAGAAAAAAAAAAAGUGCCUACCAAACUGCCUAAUAAAUCAUAGCUGUAAUCCCUCCAACAUUCUGACUUCAAGUCUUGCCGUUUCUUUCUCCUGAAUAUUCCCCAUUCCUGUUCAUAUAAUCAUUAUCCUUUGGUAGGCUUUCACUCUCUUUAGGUAACUAUUCCAGUAGUUACUUGAUUAGCCUUAUUCCCCUCCACACUUAUUUUCAACACUACAGCAUGGAUGAUCUGUCUACCACACAAAUUUUAAAUUAUCUACAGUGUAGCACAUUUCACCUUUUUAUGUAUUUAUUCUCUAGUACCACUGAAGUACUUGCAUUUCCUUAAAUAUUCUUUUUGAAAAAGCAUCAAGUCUCUAUGCCUUUGCCUUUCUAACUGGAAUAUUGCCCCCUUCUUGCCUCCUGUCAGAAUUCUUACUCAUCUUUCAGGUUUUAGCUAAAGUGCCGCUUCCCUUGCAAAGCUUUCCCUGAUUCCCCCCAAGUAGAUUUCUAUGCUGCUACUGCUUAUUGCACAUGAUCCUGUUGUAAUGCAUAGAUUAUUGUAGUUUUGUUAGUUUGUCUGUCAUUCUAAUAGACUGUAAUUUCCUUGAAGGAGGGGAACACAUUUCAUCCUUUACAUACCAGUUCUAAGUGUAGUACCUGGACUAUACUAUUUAUUGAAUAUUUAUUAAAUUAAAAAAUGAAAAGAUCUAUUUAUAAGACUGUCUGCCUUCUCACCAUACCUCCACUUUACAUAUCAGGAAGCCGAGGCCCAAAGAAAUGAAGCUAUUUAGUGUGAGCCCAUGCCUUUUAAGUCCAAAUCUAUUACUUUUAUACCAUAGAGAAUCUUCUGAGUAGCGUCUGUAUACUAGUCAGUUCUUGCAAAUCAAAACUACAAUGAGUUGUCACCUCACACCAGUCAGAAUGGCCAUCAUUGAAAAAUCUACAAAUAGGGAGUUUCCGCUGUGGUGCAGAGAGUUAAUGAUCUGGCUUGUUUCUGAGGCACUGGUUUGAUGCCUGGCACAGUAGGUUAAGGAUCUGGCAUUGCUGCAGCUGUGGUGUAGGUCACAGCUCCAGCCCUGAUUUGAUCCCUGACCUGAGAACUUCCAUAUGCUGCAGGAGUGGGGAAAAAAAAAAAAUUAUAAUUUUUUUUUUAAAAAGUCUACAAAUAGACUUUUCUCCCUGAUGUGGAGAAAAGGGAACCCUUAUAUGCUGCUGGUAGGAAUAUAAACUGGUGCAGCCACUAUGGAAAACAGUAUGCAGGUUCCUUAAAAAAUUAAAAGUAGAGUUACCAUUUGAUCCAGCAAUCCCACCCCUGGACUUAUAUCCAGAGAAAACUCUAAUUGGAAAAAAUACACAUACCCCAGUGUUCAUAGCAGCACUAUUUACAAUAGCCAAGACAUGGAAGCAACUUAAAUGUCCAUUGACAGAGGAAUGGGUAAAGAAGAUGUAAGAUUCCAUGCAUACAAAUGGAAUACUGCUCAUCCAUAAAAAAGAAGGAAAUAAUGCCUUUUGCAGCAACUUGGAUGGGCCUAGAGGUUACCAAAUUAAGUGAAGUAAAUCAAAGACAAGUAUCAUAUAAUAUCACUUAUAUAUGGAAUCUAUAAUCUGAUACAAAUGAAUUCAUUUAGAAAAUAGAAACAGACUCACAGUCAUAGAAAACAAGCUUAUGUAAAGGGGAAAGAGAAGGGGAGAUAAAUUAGGAGUUUGGGAUUAUCAAAUACAAACUACUAAUAUAUUAAAACAGAUAAACAACAGGAACCUGCUGUAUAGCACAGGGAACUAUAAUCAAUAUUUUGUAGUGGAAAAGAUUAUGAAAAAGAACACAUACUUAUAAAAUGUAUACAGGUAUAUGUAUGUAUGUAUAGCUGAAUCACUUUGCCGUACACCAGAAACUAACCAACAUUGUAAAUCCACUAUACUUCAGUUUAAAAGUGUGAGUGGGGGUGUGAGGGUGUGGGGGUGUGUGUAUACAACACACAUGCUAGUCAUUUCUGUUAUGGAAAUAGCCUGUCUUGUCAGUUCAUUCAUCUCUAAUCUAGGGAAUAGGCAGAGGAGCAUAGUGAUUUGACAAGGUUCAUGUUUUCCUCCUUAUUCAGUUAUUUGAUUGCUUUUGUUUAGUUUUUAGUAAAUUCAGUGAAAUUCAAAGUAUUCUUUGUGUUAUUCCUUUCUUUUACCAAUCAUAGCACUCAAUUUUCUUAAGGAAUAAAUGUCUGAUGCAUUAGUCCAGUGGUUCUCAACCCAGGCAGUCCCCUCCCCCGCCCCAGCCCCACCCCCACCCUGGGGACAUUUGGUAAAAUAUCAUGAAACAUAUUUUUGAUUAUCACAUCUGAAGGAGUGCUACUGGUAUCUAGUAGGUUGAAAACCCCUGAUCUAAGGAAAAUUUUUACGUAGCCCUUCAUCCGUUGUCUGGCCUCUAUGAAACCACCAUGGAAAACAAACUCCUUCCCAGAGGGGAUAAGGAAGCCCUAAGUAAGUGCAGCAGACUCUGGAGGCAAUUGCCAUCAACUCUGCUCAUUUUCAAAAGAUUUCAUGCACCUUUCCCCCAGUUUAUUCAUAGCAGCUGCUUGGGUAUAGGUAGUCACAUAAAUAUGUAUUGCCUAAAUGAUUAAUAAAGUAUUUUAUGACUAAAAGAGCAACGUUUAUGUGUCUCUUACAAAAAAAAAUUAAAGGGAAGUCAAUCAUUGUGAGAGCUGAAUUUCUCUCUGUUCUUUUUAAACGAAUUAAUUACUUACAGGGAGAAGCAAAACUUUUAAAAAACAACUCUCAACUCCUCCACUUCUAUAAAUUAUCAAUAAUAGUUUUAAGGGGGAGACCAAUGAGCUUAUAAAUUAAAAAUGAUGUUUGAGAAACAAAAAAGAAGCUUUCAGAAUAGAGUAAUAUUAGAAUUGAUGCUUGAGCUCUCCAGGACCCUCAUUUAAAUUAUGAAUCCAGAACUGAUAUUGGGGCAUUUCUGAUGGAUUGUGGCUAGGCAGGAAGAAGCCAAGCACAUAGAGUAAGGUUAGAUUGAGCUCCCAAUUUAAAUAAUCAAGAUACAAAAUCUCAGAAGCAGUAUGUCUAUAGUGCAGCAUAUCUCGGGGUAGUUUUCCCUGGCCCCAAAGUCCCCAGCGCACUUAAACCACAUUUCAGGAAAACUUCCACUAAUAAUCUUUGUUACUGACAGUGAACUCUUCUGGGUUUUGAUCCUCGUUUUACAUCCCCAUUCAGGGGCCAGGAAAGACUAUUUACUCUCAGACCAACACUUGUAUUUCCUUAUUUUUUUAAUAAAAUGUAUUUCUUCAAUCUUAAAAGGUUUUAAAUGUAUAGGAUAAAUAAUAUGGGAAGCCAUAAAGAAAAUACAGGACACUCAAUCCCACCCAGAGGCAGUAAUGAUUAAUAUUUUUGUCCAUUUUUUCUAGAAAAUGUUUCUAUAAAUACAUUACAUAGUAGAAAUAAUAUCCUGUUUUUUUCCACUUUACGUUAUAAUAGGAACACUUCCCAUGCAAAUUAGAAUUCUUCAUAAAUAUUAUUCUAGUGGAUGCAAAAUAUGCUCUGCUAUGGAAAUAUAAUAGUUUACCAUUUUCCUACUGUUGGCCAAAAACAGAAUGCUUCAAACUUUACAUUAUUAUAAUCCUAAAAUCCUAGCAUUUAGGUCCAUGUUGGAUCCUACCCUUAACUUUUCAAGAAACUUACUUUAUGUUCAUUAUUUGACAAGAACAUUAGUUCCCAGUACAUGCAAUGUUCUUUCUCUCCAAAGAAGAAAGAAUUAUAUAUGAUAUUCUUUCUACCUGAUUUGCUCUUUCUCUCCUCUUUUUGCACAGUUAGUUCACUCUUCAAAUUUCAGGUCAAAAGUCACUUCCUCAGGGAAGCCUUCCCAAACUCUGUAUUUGAUUAUGGGUCUCUGUUACACACUCUAAUUGUACUGUGUUCUUUCCCAUAGUGUUUACCUCUGGUUGCAACAAUCCAUUUGUUUGUGUAUUAUUUGGUUAAUUUCUGAACCCCUCUUGGACUGGAAUACUAUAAUCAUCAUCUGGAUAAGCAGUGAUUAUAAUGCUGUUAUUAAACACAGGCCAGUUAAUGUGAUCUUAUUCAUAUCACCGACAAGAUGGGUUAAAGCUUGAGGUCGAAAUACAAUUAGUACACCUAGUCCAGAAAUAGUUAUGUGCCAGGUGUCAUGCUAGGUGCUGGGAAUAUAGAAGUGAGAAUGACAGGCAUGAUUUCAUCUUUCCUGCUUAUAGUGCAGUGCAACUUUUGGCAAACUUUUCCUGAAAAGAGGCAGAUAAAUUUUAGGCUUUCAGGCCAUGUGGUUUCUCUCACAACUAUUCAGCUUUGCCAUUGAAACACAAAAACAAUCAUCAACAAUACAUAAAUAGUUACCAACAAUACAUAUGUGAAAGUAUGUCUGGCUUCCAAUAAAACUUUAUUUACAAAAUCCAGGGGCUGGAUUUGAUCCAUGGGCUAUUAUUUACUGACAUCUAGUCUAACGGACAGGACUGCCAUUGAACAGAUCAUUUGAGAUGAUAGAUACUUCAAAAGAAAGGGACACGGUGCAAUAAAGUCACAUAGCAGAGCUGUCAAACCUAGUCUGGAAAAAAGAAUAAAUACUUUCUUGAGGAACAUGAUUUUAAGCCAAUAUUUCAGGAAGAAGAGGGUUUAUCCAGAUAAAAAUAGGGGCAACAGGCUUGAUGAAGACCUAAAGCAUGAAAAGAGCAAGAACAGAAGCAAAUCCAUCCUUAAACUUGAUGAUAGGGAGAGGGAAAUGAAAUCGUGUAGGGACAAAGUAUAGAGUGAAAAGACAAACUAAGAGUUUUGAAAAAAUUUCAGAACUAGUACUUCCCAGAGGAAGAGAUGCCAGCAGGAAAGACUAAGAAGGAAUGAUCAAUGAGUGUAGCAGUAGCAGGAAACAUUCCAUCUGGAUGUGCAGAAUAUGUAAGUUGGAAGACAUUAGCCUAAAGGCUGGAAACCUCAGAGAACUGAUAUACUUUCUGAAAGGUAAGUAUAUAUGUCUAUAUAGAUAUAAAUUAUAUAUACUUAUAUAUAAUAUACAUAUGAAUUAUGCAUAUAUCUAAGUAUAUGUAUAAUUUAUAAGAAAAAUAGAAUAAGGGUUAAAAAGUGAGGGAGUUGUAGGGCAGAGAAUGAAGAGCUAGUGAAGGAAUCAGAAGUAAUAGAGAGGAACACAUUGCUAGUACAUAGUAAUUGCUCAAUAUUUUGAUAAGUAAAUGGAAGGAACAUUUUAAUAUAAAAUCAAAGAACCCAAGAGGGAAGGGGUUUUAGUAACAGGUUGACCUAUAGUUUUGCAUGUUUAAAAAAGCUAUUGCCUUGGCUACCAGGGAAAAGGGUGCAGGUAAGGACUCAGCUACUUUUGAUACCCCAUACAGGAUAGGCCUGACCUCUAAUUCCUACCUUUAAGAAAAAUUGACCUAGCUUUUUUCUUCCCUAAAGAUUUCAUUGAGUAGGGGAGCUUUAUAUAAAAAAAUUUUAAAAAAUGAUCAUUAAAUUAAAAAUGAUCUAAAUAGACAUUAAGAAGAUGUACAGAUGGACAAAAACUAGAAACUAUAAAUGCUGGAGAGGAUGUGGAGAAAGGGAACCCUCCUACACUGUAAGUAGGAAUGUAAGCUGGUGCAACAACUAUGGAGGACAGUAUGAAGGUUCCUUAAAAAACUAAAUAUAGUACUACCAUAUCAUCUAGCAGUCCUACUCCUGGGCAUCUAUCCAGAGAAAACCAUAGCCCAAGAAGAUACAGGCACCCCAGUGUUCAUUGCAGUACUAUUUACAACAGCCAAGACAUGGAAGCAACCUAAAUGUCCAUCUACAGGGGAAUGGAUAAAGAAGAUGUGGUACAUAUGUACAAUGGGGUAUUAUUCAUCCAUAAAAAAUGAAAUAAUGCCAUUUGCAGCAACAUGGAUGGACCUAGAUAUUAUCUUAAUGAAUGAAAUAAGGCAAAAAGAAAUAUGGUAUCACUUAUAUGUGGAACCUAAUAAAAAAUGAUACAAAAGAACUUAUUUAUAAAAUGGAAACAAACAGAUUUUAAAACCAUUUUAUGGUUACCAUAGGUGAAACUGCUGGAGAGAGGGAAGAAUUGGGAGGGUGGGAUAACAUAUACACACUAGUGUAUAAAGUAGAUGAUUAAUGAGAACCUGUUGUAUAGCAUAGGAAAAUCUACUUACUAGUCUGUAAUAACCUCUAGGGGAAAAAAGAAUGGGUAUAUUUUCAUAUAUAACUGAUUGACUUUGCUGUAUACCUGAAAGUAAUACAACAGUGUAAGUCAACUAUACUCCAAUAUUUUUUUUAAAAAAAAAGAAGUGUGUUAAAAAAAGAUUUCAAUGAGUAGAAACAGGAGCCUUCCUGUGUCAAUACAUGCUCAAAAUAAAAAUAUAAAAUUAAAAUAACAAGAUUUUUUCAUAGAUUGCAAUGACACAAGCUCAACUUUAUCUUUUCUCUUGGUCAUCUAUUUAAACAUGUAUUUUAUCAGUUAAGUCUAAGCAUUCUAUAUUGUCACUUUAACUUUUUACUAACUUCUUGUUGAUAUAGAUAAAGUCCUAUGUUAGAUGCUGGGGGUGGUUCCAAAAAAUGUAGGACAUGGCUCUGGGCUAAAGUAGUAGGUAAUUGACCAGUAAAUUAUAAGUUUCUUGACAUCAGGAAUCAUAUUUGACAUUUCCCUUUUUUUCCUUGCACAGUAUCAGACAUAUGGUUGGAACUGCAGAAGAAAUGUCCCCUUGCCCUUUGCAUUGCAUCAUUUGAUGACCAAGUGGUGUCCAUCUAGCCAGUUCUGUAUGACUUGGACAAAACAUGUUGCUUUCUGAAGCAGACAAUGUUCUGAAGGCAUCAAUAUCAGUAAUUUCAGCUUGUUGAAGAUGGAGGUUCUUUGUGUAAAAGGUCAGCCUGUCAGUAAAUAGCAUGCCACCCUGUCCUUUCAAGAUUAUAAGAAACUUUUAUAUAUGUGUUUUUAUACUUAAAAAAAAAAAAAAAGAGUAAUGGAAAACUGUGCCCAGUGGUUUCACCAGAUAUUUUCAAACCAGAACUAGGGCAACCGAAUUCUAAUUUGUUUUUAAAACAUUUAGCUUCACAAACUUAUGAGAGCAGGGAGCUGAGAUUUUUCUUGCCUGAAUUAGCAGGUAGUUUCAUUUUCCAUUUAACUUUAGCAGAGGAGACCUAGCUUCAGAAUGAAAAUGUGAAGCAUAGGUUCUUGCCAAGUAAAGCAAAAUUAGUCUUAAGGGUGAAGGGAGCCAUUACCCAUUUUUCUUAAGCUGCUGCUUACUUCUGUAUUAAUAUGAAUGGUUUUUAGACUGAAACUCACAGAUAAGGGGGAAAGGUUCCCUUUCUAGAACCCAGUCCCCUGUACUAAGCAAAUCCAAAGUCUUUCGAAAAUGAGUGGGUGGUCAAGGGGGAACUGUUGUUUAACUCAGGGAACUCUACCCAAUAUUCUGUGAUAACCUAAAUGGGAAAAGACUCUUUAAAAGAUUGGAUAUGUGUAUGUGUAUAAUGGAAUCACUUCAUUGUACAGCGGGAAUUAUCAAAACAUUGUAAAUCAGCUAUACUUCAAUAAAACUUUUAAAAAAUGGAAA